CCCCACCCCCCACCUGUCCUCUCCCCUCUGCGGAGAGACCCCAAGGGACUUCUCAGACCCUGGCUGGGGCAGCCAGCCGGAGAGUGGCUACAGACAGCUGCUUCCCAUCCGUCCCCUCGCCUGCCUGUCCCCCACCAUCUGAGGGAUGUCAAGACGGGCCCUGGAGGAGGGUGACCUUGGCCCCGGGCCCUCAGCAUGUGCCUUCCCUACUUGGAAUACGCUUCCUGAGACACCUCCCUCUAGCUCCCUCUGUCAUCAGUGUUGUUCCCGGCUCACUUCCUCCAGACCCUUCCUGGACUGCACAGACAAGGUGGGGCCCCAGAGUCUGCUUUACGCACGCCAUGGACCCACAGAAUUCCAGUCCUGGCUCACCCUUCCCUGCCGGGUUUGUCCCUCAACCUCGGCCGGCUUCCUCCUGAGAGCAGCUGAUGCCAGCGGGCCCUGCCUCAGGAGGUUUGAGAGGGUCAAGUCAGUUCGCAUCGAAAGUGCUAGAAUGGUGCCUGCUACAUAGAACUUAUUUGCCACCGGCAACGCUGCUGGUAGUGUUAGGGUGGUUUGUGGGGUGACCUACGGUCCAGUUUGCCCAGGACUGUCCUGGUCUUGGCUCUGGAAACCCAGGGAAUCCCUCUGUUCUGGACACACAGGGAUGGUUGGUCACCCUACUUAGGAUUUAUCUGCCAUCCCCAUGCAGCCGGAAGGAGAUCUCCUGGCACCUGCCUGCCUUGCUGCUAACGCUUCAGUCAUCCACUCAACGCCUUCAUUCAGCAAGUGUUGUGUAAGCAUCUACGACCCAGCAGGUCCCCUUCCCGGAGCGGGGGACAUAGCAGCCAGGACGGUGGAUGGAAAUCCACGUCCUCGGAGAGCUGACGUUCCAGGAAGGGCAAGGAACAGUAAGCCGAGAUCACAAGCAGGCAGAGAGGCAGGCAGAGAGAGAGGAGGAGGCUCCCCGCCGAGCAGAGAGCCCGACGCGGGGCUCGGUCCCAGGACCCCGGGAGCAGCCCCAAGCCCAGAGCAGCGGCACCCCCCACGGAGCCCCCGGGCGCCCCCUUUCCUACCUUCUUUCCUGCCUUUUCUUUCCGGAGAGCAGUUUCUUCUCUAUUUGGGAGCUUUCUGUUUCUUUUCUGCUUCACUAAGCUCUUCCCUCUAAUUCCUAUGUAGCUGGCGAGCGAGGUCCUUUCCAGGGUUCGGGGUUGUGACUCAGCGACCCGGCCUGAGCGUGCCGGUCCACGGCUCUGCCCUGCCCGCGCACGAAGGGCUCUUCCUUCCGAACUGCAGUUGUCGGACGUGCAAAGCCCCGAGAAUGAGCAGAUGCUGUUGGGGCGGGAUACGGUUGUCGCUGAGGGCUGAGGCCUCGUCUAAGAAGGGCCUGGAUGUGUUUUAGGUCGUGCUCUGGAGGGGGGUUACUUGGAGAUGGAGGUGAAGAGCUGCUGGCGGAGAAGCGACUGGGCCGGUCCCUUGAGAUGAGUGCACGUAUGUCCUUUUGCAUGUGGCGCUCUCUCACGGUAGAAGAAGAAAGGGGGGGCGCCUGGGCGGCUCAGCGGGUUAAACUGCUGCCUUCCACUCGGGUCAUGAUCUCAGGGUCGUCGGAUCGAGCCCCGCAUCGGGCUCUCUGCUCAGCGGGGAGCCUGCUUCCCUCUCUCUCUCUCUGCCUGCCUCUCUGUCUACUUGUGAUUUCUCUCUGCCAAAUAAAUAAAUAAAAUCUUUAAAAAAAGAAGAAGAAGAAGAAAAGAAAGGGGGAAAAUAUAAAUAAAUAAUUUUUAAAAAGAAGAAAGAAUAGAAUAAAUUAAGAAGAGAGAAUAAAUUUAUUUUUUUAAAGAUUUUAUUUAUUUAUUUAUUUGAGAGAGAGACGGUGAGAGAGAGCAUGAGCGAGGAGAAGGUCAGAGAGAGAAGCAGACUCCCCGUGGAGCUGGGAGCCCGAUGCGGGACUCGAUCCCGGGACUCCGGGAUCAUGAUCUGAGCCGAAGGCAGUUGUCCAACCAACUGAGCCACUCAGGCGUCCCAAGAAAAGAGAAUAAAUUUAAAAAAUAGAAUGAAACCAGGUCUGGGCUGGUGGGAAUAUAAAAUGGGGCCGCUGCUGUGGGUAACUGCUUUAGAAGACCUCAAAAAAUUAAACAUACAGGUGCUGCGUGACCCAGCAAUUUCAUUCCUAGGUCUACACUCAAAAACUGGAGAACUGAUAUUUGCACACCUGUGUCCACAGCAUUACUAAAGAUACCCAAAAGGUAGAAACAACCCAAGUAUCCAUUGGUGGUUGAAGAGACAAGCAAAAUGUGGUCCACCCAUAGGAUAGGACAUUGCUCAGCCUCAGAAAGGAAAGAAAUCCUGAAACCUGCUGCAGCAUAGAUAGACUUUGAAGACCUUGGGCUUGGAAAUAAGCCAGAAGGACCCGUCCCACAGGACCCCACUCCCAGGAAGGCCCCAGAGGAGUCCCCUCCGCACAGAGACAGACAGGAGAGGGUGGGAGCCGGGGCUGGGGCAGGGGUGGGGAGUCCAUGCUUCAUGGGGACAGAGUCUCCGUGUGGGGAGAUGGAAAGUUCUGGAGACGGGGGGCGGGGGUGGUCACACAGCAGUGUGAGUGUGCUCCAUGCCCUGAGGGGUGCACUUGGAAAUGGCUAACACAGGCACCAAACUUACAGCGGUGAGCAUUUCAUAAUGUAUAUAAUUUUUCAAAUCACAAGCACCCCUGAAAUUAACAUUAUGUUGUAUUAACUGUGCUGCAAGAAAAAAAUAACAAUCGCAAUCGUUUACAAUUUUUGUGUGCGCUUUAACCACCAUUUUUUCUUAAAAUGGUAGCAACUAUAUAAUCAUAACGACUGGCUUUGCAGACAAGGGUAGGCUCCUGCCCCAGAAACAUGGAACCCUCGGAGAGUCCUCUUCCUGCAUUCUUGCUGUGUCGUUUGCUUUGUCCUGGGGUCAGUGAGAUCAUUCUUGGCAAGACUGGAGAGACAGUUGCACCUGUGCUGCAGGGGAGGAUUGCAAAUCCGUAUGCCAAGUUGAAGGUCCUUCCAAACUGUGGAAAGACAUCCUCGUGGAGAAAGAUGUGCGUGACACGUUGUAUUAAAAGGAGCAAGGUC